GGUCCCGUAGCUCAGCCGGAUAGAGCGUCGGUUUCCUAAACCGCAGGCCGGAGGUUCGAAUCCUCUCGGGAUCACCA
rnacentral:tRNA from 1 species